UGUUAAAAAUUUCAUCCAUUUUUACUGUUAAAAACUGGCGUAACUGACAGAUAAUCAAUACAUGUGUAUCUGAGGCUGACUUACAAAGAUAAGUUUUUAACAGCGAAAAGGAUGAAAUUUUUAAUA
rnacentral:pre_miRNA from 1 species